CUCCUGCCUAAUUUAAAAUCAGGAGAGGAGCUGAAAGAGACCCCAAACUGCACACUUGUGUAACAAAUGAUGUGUAUAUAUCCUCACUGAAAAAGUUUCAGGAUUCUUCAUUUCUGAUGCAAAUAAUUUCCAACAACAUUACUGACCGGACACCAAAUUUGUGUGAAAUGUUACUAAAUGGGUGGCAUCCUUUGAAAUGAGAGACAUUUAAGAGAGCAUCAAGAAGCAAAGAGUGAGCUUUCUAGUCCAACCUCCCAAGCCACAUAUUUAAGCCCAUUCAGCAUUAUGAACAAAAGAAUACUGUGUGAUAGGGAGGAGUUUCUUAGAAUUGAACCAUAUUUCACCUGAAGGAACAGCUGGAACAGUUUGAAGAAAUAGCAAUCAAAAGCAGUCUGGCUGACAUCUUGAAAUGGUCUUCUUGGGAGCCGGUCCAAAGCAGUUUGCUGGAAUUCUAAAAGUUGCGUUCUGCAUCAGGGCGUUAUUAACUUUACUUUUGUCACAUAACAGAAUU